rnacentral:rRNA from 1 species
UACGUAGGGGGCAAGCGUUGUCCGGAUUUAUUGGGCGUAAAGAGCGUGUAGGCGGCUUGGUAGGUCUCGCGUCAAAACCUGAGGCUCAACCUCAGUUCGCGUGGGAAACCACCUAGCUAGAGGCCGGAAGAGGAGAACGGAAUUCCCAGUGUAGCGGUGAAAUGCGCAGAUAUUGGGAAGAACACCAGUGGCGAAGGCGGUUCUCUGGGACGGUACUGACGCUGAGACGCGAAAGCGUGGGGAGCGAACAGG